UGUGCAGUGAUGAGAAAGCUAACAUGUAAGAAAAGUAUUUAACUUUGUGUUGAAUAUUUUUCUAUGAAAUAUUCUUGUUACGCUUGGCUUCUGAGCAUA